rnacentral:rRNA from 1 species
UACGGGGGAUGCAAGCGUUAUCCGGAUUUAUUGGGUUUAAAGGGUGCGUAGGCUGUGAGGUAAGUCAGCGGUGAAAUGCCCCCGCUCAACGGGGUGAAGUGCCAUUGAUACUGCCUUGCUGGAAUGCGGAUGCCGUGGGAGGAAUGUGUGGUGUAGCGGUGAAAUGCAUAGAUAUCACACGGAACGCCGAUUGCGAAGGCAUCUCACGAAUCCGCUAUUGACGCUGAUGCACGAAAGCGUGGGUAUCAAACAGG